rnacentral:misc_RNA from 1 species
UACGUAGGAUCCGAGCGUUAUCCGGAAUCACUGGGCGUAAAGAGUUGCGUAGGCGGCUUGUUAAGCGGAUAGUGAAAUCUUGUGGCUCAACCAUGAGGCUAUUAUCUGAACUGGCAAGCUAGAGUAUGGUAGAGGUAACUGGAAUUCCAAGUGUAGGAGUGAAAUCCGUAGAUAUUUGGAGGAACACCGAUGGCGUAGGCAGGUUACUGGGCCAAUACUGACGCUGAGGCACGAAAGCGUGGGGAGCAAACGGG